rnacentral:rRNA from 1 species
GACGAACGCUGGCGGCGUGCUUAACACAUGCAAGUCGAACGGAAAGGCCUCUUUCGGGGGGUACUCGAGUGGCGAACGGGUGAGUAACACGUGAGUAACCUGCCCUUGACUUUGGGAUAACUUCAGGAAACUGGGGCUAAUACCGGAUAGGAGCUCCUGCUGCAUGGUGGGGGCUGGAAAGUUUCGGCGGUUGGGGAUGGACUCGCGGCUUAUCAGCUUGUUGGUGGGGUAGUGGGUUACCAAGGCUUUGACGGGUAGCCGGCCUGAGAGGGUGACCGGCCGCAUUGGGACUGAGGUACGGCACAGACGGGUACGGGUGGCAGCAGGGGGGAAUAUUGCACAAGGGGUGGAGGCCUGAUGCAGCAGGGCCGUGUGCGGGAUGACGGCCUUCGUGUUGAAGACCGCUAUCGCGCAUGACGAAGGUUGGUGUGACGGUAGUGGGUAAAGAAGCACCGGCUAACUACGUG